AAAUAAAGGUUGGUCGAUUGCAUCAAGAUACCGCGAUUAGCUCAGUGAGCAUAACUGAUGUGUGGGAACCUAUUGAAGAGGGCCUUAUUCCUGUGGAGAUGACUUGCCAGGUCUCAAUGAUAUCUAUCACCUUGUCAACCAAAGAGCUAAACAAAAACUCUGUCGGAUAUCAAGCUCCACAUUAUGCUGAACAACCCAAGCCACAAUAUCAUUAUCAGCAGAAGCAACCGGCCAAACAAGCUCUCGUCCC